AGUGAACGCUGGCGGUAGGCCUAACACAUGCAAGUCGAACGGCAGCACAGUAAGAGCUUGCUCUUACGGGUGGCGAGUGGCGGACGGGUGAGGAAUACAUCGGAAUCUACUUUUUCGGGGGGGAUAACGUAGGGAAACUUACGCUAAUACCGCAUACGACCUACGGGUGAAAUCAGGGGAUCUUCGGACCUUGCGCGAUUGAAUUAGCCGAUGUCGGAUUAGCUAGUUGGCGGGGUAACGGCCCACCAAGGCGACGAUCCGUAGCUGGUCUGAGAGGAUGAUCGGCCACACUGGAACUGAGACACGGUCCAGACUCCUACGGGAGGCAGCAGUGGGGAAUCUUGGACAAUGGGCGCAAGCCUGAUCCAGCCAUACCGCGUGGGUGAAGAAGGCCUUCGGGUUGUAAAGCCCUUUUGUUGGGAAAGAAAAGCAGCAGGUUAAUACCCCGCUGUUCUGACGGUACCCAAAGAAUAAGCACCGGCUAACUUCGUG
rnacentral:rRNA from 1 species